UCGGGAAACUUUUGCAAUACACGCAAGUGUGACAAAGCAAGCCAGAGUGCUUUUCUUUUUAGAGAAGCUUUUGUGAGAUGCAAAAAGUCUUACGAAUAAGGACUGGGCAAGACUGGUGCCAGCCGCCGCGGUAAUCCCAGCAGUCCGAGUCGCAGCCACAUUUGUUGGGUCUAAAAUAUCCGUAGCUUGCUUUUCAAGUCUCUUGUGAAAUCGGGACUCUUAAGGUUCCGGCGGGCAAGAGAUACUGUUUAGCUAGAGACUGGGAGGCGCAGGAAGUACAGUUAGGGUAGCGGUAAAAUGUGUUGAUCCUAUCUGGACUAACAGUCGCGAAGGCGUCCUGCGAGAACAGUUCUGACAGUGAGGGAUGAAGGCUAGGGGCGCAAAGUGG
rnacentral:rRNA from 1 species